UACGUAGGGGGCAAGCGUUGUCCGGAAUCAUUGGGCGUAAAGAGCGUGUAGGCGGCUUGGUAAGUCCGCUGUAAAAGUCCAGGGCUCAACCCUGGAAAGCCGGUGGAAACUACCAAGCUUGAGUCCGGAAGAGGCGAGUGGAAUUCCCGGUGUAGCGGUGAAAUGCGCAGAUAUCGGGAGGAGCACCAGUGGCGAAGGCGGCACUCUGGGCCGGUACUGACGCUGAGGAGCGAAAGCGUGGGGAGCGAACAGG
rnacentral:rRNA from 1 species